rnacentral:rRNA from 1 species
GAUGAACGCUGGCGGCGUGCCUAAUACAUGCAAGUCGAGCGAAUGGAUUAAGAGCUUGCUCUUAUGAAGUUAGCGGCGGACGGGUGAGUAACACGUGGGUAACCUGCCCAUAAGACUGGGAUAACUCCGGGAAACCGGGGCUAAUACCGGAUAAUAUUUUGAACUGCAUGGUUCAAAAUUGAAAGGCGGCUUCGGCUGUCACUUAUGGAUGGACCCGCGUCGCAUUAGCUAGUUGGUGAGGUAACGGCUCACCAAGGCAACGAUGCGUAGCCGCCCUGAGAUGGUGAUCGGCCACACUGGGACUGGUACACGGCCCAGACUCCUACGGGAGGCAGCAGUAGGGAAUCUUCCGCAAUGGACGAAAGUCUGACGGAGCAACGCCGCGUGAGUGAUGAAGGCUUUCGGGUCGUAAAACUCUGUUGUUAGGGAAGAACAAGUGCUAGUUGAAUAAGCUGGCACCUUGACGGUACCUAACCAGAAAGCCACGGCUAACUACGUGCCAGCAGCCGCCGUAA